rnacentral:rRNA from 1 species
CAGUCGCCGCGGUAAUACAGAGGGUGCGAGCGUUAAUCGGAUUUACUGGGCGUAAAGCGUGCGUAGGCGGCUUCUUAAGUCGGAUGUGAAAUCCCUGAGCUUAACUUAGGAAUUGCAUUCGAUACUGGGAAGCUAGAGUAUGGGAGAGGAUGGUAGAAUUCCAGGUGUAGCGGUGAAAUGCGUAGAGAUCUGGAGGAAUACCGAUGGCGAAGGCAGCCAUCUGGCCUAAUACUGACGCUGAGGUACGAAAGCAUGGGGAGCAAACAGGAUUAGAUACCCGAGUAGUCCCUGUCUCUUAUAA